rnacentral:lncRNA from 1 species
UUAUUAGAAUAGUAUACAAGGGGUGGAUCACUUUUUCACUGCACAUCAAAUGUACAUCAAAUUGCAUUAAAUGCAUUUUUUCGAUAUUCACAUCAGCUUAGCACUGGUCCUUUUUAUCAUGCCGUGCUAUAGCAACGCAUUAUUGUUUGUUGUGAAAGGAUCAACAUUGUUUUACUGUCUCAGAUGCUCAAGCUGUAGCUUCAGAACGAAUAUGUUAUACAAAGCUUUCUCGAGCCCACGGCAAUCCGGUUAUGGAUCCUUGAAACGAACAGCGUCCGAUCAUCCCAUAUUAACAAGUUUUGUUAGUACACAGUGCAGUUCAUGAGUUAGAGGAUGAUAACUUGAAAAAAGAAAUCAUCGUUCCACAUCCCUGUCGGAACCAUCUUCCUGAGAAACGCACAUACUGUGCCUUAAUAAUGAUGACGGUGGAACAACCAACAAAAGCCUCGAAAAUUAUUUGUCUAAAUAGCUUGUUUUAUUUCUUUCAACAAUAAAUUCUAGACUAUAUGUAUAAAAGCAUUAUCCUUCUUAUUUCUACAUUGCUUCCAAAAAUCUUUCCUAAUACAAAAAUGUUCAGGUUGCUAUUGAACGUAUAUACGGAACAUAUUUUUGCUGAAAUAAUUUCAUAAUAUUGGCCAUGAGUAACAGCAAAUGAACAGAUCUUUAGGUCAUAAAUCAAGUACCACAGCGUGUGAAAAGCUACUUCCGGAUAACUACUUCUAUAACAGAGCGCAAGAGAGCUACGCUUUUGAUUUGAUUCUAUGCAUUAGCAGCUUUGACGAAUAAAACAACCACUAAUCAUUA